GACGAACGCUGGCGGCGUGCUUAACACAUGCAAGUCGAACGGAAAGGCCCUGCUUUUGUGGGGUGCUCGAGUGGCGAACGGGGGAGUAACACGUGUGUAACCUGCCCUUGACUUUGGGAUAACUUCAGGAGACUGGGGCUAAUACCGGAUAGGAUCUCCUGCUGCAUGGUGGGGGUUGGAAAGUUUCGGCGGGUGGGGAUGGACUCGCGGCUUAUCAGCUUGUUGGUGGGGUAGUGGCUUACCAAGGCUUUGACGGGUAGCCGGCCUGAGAGGGUGACCGGCCACAUUGGGACUGAGAGACGGCCCAGACUCCUACGGGAGGCAGCAGUGGGGAAUAUUGCACAAUGGGCGGAAGCCUGAUGCAGCAACGCCGCGUGCGGGAUGACGGCCUUCGGGUUGUAAACCGCUUUCGCCUGUGACGAAGCGUGAGUGACGGUAAUGGGUAAAGAAGCACCGGCUAACUACGUG
rnacentral:rRNA from 1 species